GAGGGUAUAGCUCAGUGGUAAAGCACAUGCUUAGCAUGCACGAGGUCCUGGGUUCACUCCCCAGUACCUCCA
rnacentral:tRNA from 1 species